GGGGUUGUGGCUCAGCAGUAGAGCGCUCACCUAGCACGUGAAAGUCCCUGGGUUUGAUCCUCAGCACCG
rnacentral:tRNA from 1 species